rnacentral:rRNA from 1 species
UACGUAGGGGGCUAGCGUUGUCCGGAAUCAUUGGGCGUAAAGAGCGUGUAGGCGGCUUGGUAAGUCCGCUGUGAAAGUCCAGGGCUCAACCCUGGAAUGCCAGUGGAAACUGUCAGGCUAGAGUCCGGAAGAGGCGAGUGGAAUUCCUGGUGUAGCGGUGAAAUGCGCAGAUAUCAAGGAGGAACACCGGUGGCGAAGGCGGAUCUCUGGGCCAUUACUGACGCUGAGGAGCGAAAGCGUGGGGAGCGAACAGG